GUUUUUCGCUUGAGGAUGAGCCCAUACGGGAUUAGCUAGUUGGUGAGGUAAUGGCUCACCAAGGCUACGAUCCCUAACUGGUCUUAGAGGAUGAUCAGUCACACUGGAACUGAGACACGGUCCAGACUCCUACGGGAGGCAGCAGUAGGGAAUAUUGCACAAUGGAGGAAACUCUGAUGCAGCGACGCCGCGUGAGUGAUGAAGGCCUUCGGGUCGUAAAGCUCUGUCGUAUGGGACUAACAAAAUG
rnacentral:rRNA from 1 species